rnacentral:rRNA from 1 species
CCCUUAGGUGUUCUGGGCUGCACGCGCGCUACACUGAUGCACUCAACGAGUUUACGACCUUGCCCGAUAGGGUUGGGUAAUCUUUUUAAAAUGCAUCGUGAUGGGGAUAGAUUAUUGCAAUUAUUAAUCUUCAACGAGGAAUUCCUAGUAAGCGCGAGUCAUCAGCUCGUGCUGAUUACGUCCCUGCCCUUUGUACACACCGCCCGUCGCUCCUACCGAUUGAGUGCUCAGGUGAAUAAUUCGGACUGCAGCAAUGUUUGGAUCCCGAACGUUGCAGCGGAAAGUUUAGUGAACCUUAUCACUUAGAGGAAGGAGAAGUCGUAACA